rnacentral:rRNA from 1 species
GAUGAACGCUGGCGGCGUGCUUAACACAUGCAAGUCGAACGAAGCAUAGGAAACAGAAUACUACGGUAGGAAGAUUUUUAUGACUGAGUGGCGGACGGGUGAGUAACGCGUGGGUAACCUGCCUCAUACAGGGGGAUAACAGUUAGAAAUGGCUGCUAAUACCGCAUAAGCGCACAGUACUGCAUGGUACAGUGUGAAAAACUCUGGUGGUAUGAGAUGGACCCGCGUCUGAUUAGCUAGUUGGUGAGGUAAGGGCUCACCAAGGCAACGAUCAGUAGCCGACCUGAGAGGGUGAACGGCCACAUUGGGACUGAGACACGGCCCAA